CCUACGGGUGGCAGCAGUGAGGAAUAUUGGUCAAUGGGCGCAAGCCUGAACCAGCCAAGUAGCGUGAAGGAUGACGGCCCUACGGAUUGUAAACUUCUUUUAUAGGGGAGUAAAAUGCGGCACGUGUGCCUUUUCGUGUGUACUUUAUGAAUAAGGAUCGGCUAACUCCGUGCCAGCAGCCGCGGUAAUACGGAGGAUCCGGGCGUUAUCCGGAUUUAUUGGGUUAAACGGGGACGUAGCGGGGUGGUUAAGUCAGUGGUAAAGUUGUGGGGCUCAACCUAAAAGUGCAAUUGAGACUGGCAGACUGGAGUGCAGGUGAGGUAGGCGGAAUUCGUGGUGUAGCGGUGAAAUGCUUAGAUAUCACGAAGAACUCCGAUUGCGAAGGCAGCCUACUGACCUGCAACUGACACUGAUGCACGAAAGUGUGGGUAUCAAACAGGAUUAGAUACCCCAGUAGUC
rnacentral:rRNA from 1 species